UUGACCUCAAAUCAGGUAGGACUACCCGCUGAACUUAAGCAUAUCAAUAAGCGGAGGAAAAGAAACUAACAAGGAUUCCCCUAGUAACUGCGAGUGAAGCGGGAAAAGCUCAAAUUUGAAAUCUGGCAGUUUUUGACUGUCCGAGUUGUAAUCUAGAGAAGUGUUACCUGUGCUGGACCGUGUGCAAGUCUCCUGGAAUGGAGCGUCAUAGAGGGUGAGAAUCCCGUCUUAACACGGACUACCAUGUACAUCAUGGUGCGCUCUCAAAGAGUCGAGU
rnacentral:rRNA from 1 species